rnacentral:rRNA from 1 species
AUUGAACGCUGGCGGCAGGCUUAACACAUGCAAGUCGAGAGAGCGGCGGACGGGUGAGUAAUGUCUGGGAAACUGCCUGAUGGAUGGGGAUAACGAAUGGAAACGGUAGCUAAUACCGCAUAACAUCAGAUGUACCCAGAUGGGAAUGGCUAGUAGGUGGGGUAAUGGCUCACCUAGCCGACGAGCACUAGCUGGUCUGAGAGGAUGACCAGCCAAACUGGAAAUUAGACACGUUCCAGACUCCGACGGGAGGCAGCAGUGGGGAAUAUUGCACAAUGGGCGCAAGCCUGAUGCAGCCAUGCCGAGUGUGUGAAGAAGGCCUGCGGGUUGUAAAGCACUUUCAGCGAGGAGGCGUUACUCGCAGAUUAAGCACCGGCUAAGUCCGUGCCGGCCGCCGCGGUAAUAC